UGUUACAUGCUGGUGGUUUUUGUGUGGUCCCUAAAAAGAGCUGGUGGUUUGUGUGUGUUUUUUAUGGGUUUUGUUUGAAUUUAAAGGUUCCAUGGUUUUACUGUGAAUGGUCUUUUAUUUUGGAGUUAUGGAUUUUGACUUUCCUCUACUCAUACUCUCUCGUUGGUUCAGGCAGGCUGAGGCGGCUUUUUUCGUCGACCACCGAAAUGGCGGUGGUGAAGGAAUUUGGUGGAUGUGAGUCGUAAUUUGACCUACUUUUCACAUCUGAUGUUCCAAUGAUUAUUCUUCUUCAUAUAAUUCAUUUGUCAAGACGUAGAAGAUGGUUCCAACGAUUUACGUACAAGCAACAAGGGAAAGCCGCUAUUUCAUUAAACAAAGUAUUUUUUUUAUGUCACUUAUGAAGGGGCUGUUGAUAUAUACAAGAUCCAAGAUCCAGUCCAACGGCAUGCGGUUGAAGAUCAAGUUGCUUACUUUGGACAAACACCGUCACGUCUUUUGACAGUCCCUCAUAUUAGCAAAAUUGUGAAUGGGAAGUAUACUUUUAUGAAGCUCAGUUAGGUAACCUUCUAUUGUUCUGUAUUGAGCAGUUUUGUUUUUUAUUUGAGAUUUGGGGAAUAGUAUGAGAAAAAAGAAUGUAAUUUGCUGUUCAUGUGUUAUUGUUUGUGAAAUUAAGCAUGUUUUCUUAAUUCCAGUUUUGGUACUAGCCAUGAUCACAACUUGCAAUUUUAGUACUUUAGCAUUUUAACUCAUUAUAUUAAAUAUAUGCAGUGCUAAUUUAGAUAAUAGGUUGUUACUAUGUUUUACAUUUUUCCAACCAUUAUAUGAAUACUCUACAGUUCGAACUUGCCAUUAUAUUAAAUAUAUGCUGUGCUAAUUUAGAUAAUAGGUUGUUACUAUGUUUUACAAGUUUUGGACCAUUAUAUGAAUAUUCUACAAUUCGAACUUACCAUUCUGGUGUAAAUGGGUUGCUACCUCUAUAAAUGAAUCACUUUUUUUUUCUCAAGUUUGUGGUUAUAUUUAAUUGGGAGUCUCUGGUUUGCAACUUUUAUGUGGACCCAACAGGUAUGUUUACCAAUCUCUUGGCUUCAUUUAUCCAUUAUUUUGAUUUGAUGUGUUUCGUUUAGUUGCUACCAAAGUAAUAUGCCAUAUUCAUACUACAUUUGUAUGAAGGAAGCCCCUUUACUCCUAUUACGGUCAAGACGUGGGAGCUUCAGUUUUAACACCAUAAGAGUUUCUUAUAUUUAGGGCACAUGAUGUGGAAUAUGGUGUAUGAAAUGCACAUAUGGGUUGUAAGAAAUAAGCAUGCAUAUAUUUUAUAUAUUAACUUAUGUUCUUUCAUGACAUCCACACUUUGUAGUAGUAAUAUGUGUAAAAAUAAUUUGUUUUAACUUUCAUUAGUUUGAAUCUGCCAUGAUAUAAUAACUCUUCUACAGGCAUGCAAUGCUCAUGGCCUCAACUGUGUCCUUUUUUGGUAAAUUGUUUGUAGUAAACUGCUUCGAUAUUAAUUAUAUAACUUGAGAUGACGUAUGUCUUUUUACAUAGUAAUAAAUUUGAAUCAAAGUAAUAUGCUUCGCCUGAGCACCUAGGCGCAAGAAGCGAGCGCCUUUAAUAACUAUGGGUUUAAUAGCGAGCGCCUUUAAUAACUAUGCGUUUGUACAGAAUAUUUCAAAGUAAAUAAUAUGGUUUUGUUGAUACAAUUAAAUUACUUCUUUUUUGGGACGUCUUUCAAGGAAAACAAGAUAAAGAAGGUACCAUCUUUACAUUACAGCCUUAUAUGCUUCUCAUACUUAGGGGUGCUUUUAAUAACAAGAUGCUUAAACGCACAUCCAAACACCCUUCGAUACAAGUUAACCAUUAGAUGA